rnacentral:tRNA from 1 species
UUUUAUUUAGUUUAAACUUAAAAUAAGUACUUGUCAAGUAUUAGAUGUAUGCUCAAUAAUAG